CCGCACCCCCUGAACUGGAAGGCGAAGUCUUAACCACUGGACCGCCAGGCAAGACCCUGAGCAGCAACUUCUUGUCAGAGGUCUUGAGUUUCAGCUCUCCAGGGCCCUCCAAGCUUCUAAAAUUGAACAAUUUCAGCCUCUUCCCUGAGAGUGGCAGCUUCCUGCAUGAUAACCUUAAGCGUUCUCUUUUUGCCUUUUUAGCUUUUUAAUACCCCGUUAACAAUUGUUUGUAUUAGAUUUCCCCUGUUAAAAUAAGGGUGGCUUUUAUCUCCUGACUAGGUUUUGACAGAUACAGACUCAUCCUAAAGCAGUAAUAUCUGAAAUCAUGGGCUUGGUACGGCUUGAAACCCUGCUUUUUCUAAUCUGCAUUCAAGUUUACAACUAUUAAAGUAAGGACGUUCAACCCUUUCCACUUCCUGGAAGCUAUCUCAUGUAACCAGAAGUUAGCAGACCACUUUUUGGAGAACACUGCCCAGCACAGUAAUGACCAUCGGCUUGGUUGCUGAGUCAUUCAUGUUCAUCCCCUUAGUUGUCAAGCUACUUACUGUCCUCUAGGGCAGGAACUAUAUCUUACCUUUUUUUAUUGACUCCUGCACCUAGCAAGGGAUAUGGCUCAUAGUAAAGGCUUUGAUAAAUGCUUCUUAAGUGAAUGGAUUUGGGAACCAACUGGCCUACAGAGCAUGUUUAAACCACACGGCUAUAGAGGUAAUGACCAACCAAAUGAGAAAAAACAAAGACUUUCUUCUGACCUUGCUGUAUAGCUAGGGAGUCAGCCACCAUCACUUGUGCCUUAGCAGAGACUCAGGCAGGCAGAGAGUGGGAAAGCUUUACAGUGGGAAAAAGGGAAGGGUUAGGCGUGCCUUGAUUGGAGGCUGUUGGCAUUGGAAAGCUAUAGGCGGCCAACUAGCAGCAGGGUAUCCUAAAUCAUUGGUUAGGGUCUCGUAUUUUACUUUCUCUAGUUGGUCCCAAAUUGGAAAUUGGGACAAAAAUUAAGGAAGUUGUCAGUUAUUAACCAAGUCCUGACCAUUUGGGGCUGAUUGUUACAAAGUUAUUUUUUAGCUUCCUGGAUUGUCCCUGGAGAUAACCAUCUGACUUCCUGCCAAGUCUGGCUUGUAGCAGGCUGGCUUCCUGAGUUGUUUAUUAUAAAGUUUGAUUUCUUGGGCCGGUUGCUGCAGGUUAUGAAUCAAAAUUCUGUUUUUGUAUGUGGUCUGGCCAUUGUCCAUUUGUGUAUUCAGUCUCACAAUGCUCAGGUUUAUUUCUAAUCGUACUAUAAAAUACAACCACUUGAUCAUGUCUCUGAGGAAGCAUGCACCCAACUUAAGAAGAGGAUGCCACCAGUGGGAUCAGGGAUGUUUGCUCCAGCCAUUAAGGGAGCUGCCUGUGCUGGAAGCAGACCCUUCAGCGGUUAAUGCCACAGAGACAAAGCCACCAAAUCAGGCGACUGAAACUUUUUGCCCUCCCAGAUCUUGGGGAAGAAAACUGAAUACCACUGGCUAAUGGAUACAAAAUUCAAUUUAAAAGAUAAUCAUCAUUUCAUGCAUAUACAACCAGCCAUUCGCUGACAUUCAAGUUGGUUGACGAACUUUAUCAAAGUGGGCUAUUUGGGGAGGGAGAGAAGAUAAUAGCUAUAAUAGUAAUUGCAAGAAAAUCUCCAGAGAACCUCCAGUGUUUAAUGUCUUUUAUGAAGAUACUAGUUUCUCCACUUGCCUACGGAAACACUCUUAAAUUUUCCCAAUCCUGGCUUCAGAGAACACACAGGUGCCUUAUCAUUUGAGUCCAAGGUGUGUUGGCAGCUUCUUAAAAGAGUCUGUGGUCUGACCUCCCCUCUCCCUGUAGGCAUAGCCUUCCAUAAGCAGUUUACUAAAAUUAUUUGGUGUCUCUGUAAGUUUUUAUAGAGCUAUAAGCCUCUCACUACAUGGUAAGUUCUAAUUUUAAUUUUAAUCAUUAUGAAAGUCAUUAACACUUAAAUGGACCCUGUUUAGCCCUCUUUGGACAAAGAAACUAUUUACACAGAGAGGAAACUACUUUCCAAGCCAGCAGCUCAAUUUUAUAUCCUGGAGUUUCCUUCCAGCAUAUUUAGCUUGUUUUCCAUGUGGCCCUGUGUUUUCACUUGCCCCAGGAAAAAAGAUGCACUGGUUUCAGACAUUCUUUGUAAAGUAGGAGUCCAUGGACACGCUUGUACAAAAUCACACUGUUCUCCUUAAGGCAUAUUUAAUCUGGAUGGUAUCCCUUGCUAAUUUCUCUUCCAUCCACAUUGUCCGGGUGGGAGAAAGCCUGUCUGCCCAUGAGUAGCAGGGGUAAUCGUGUGUUGUUGCAAAAUUGCAGCAGGAUCAAACAAGACCAUCCAGGUAAUGAAGAUGACAACCUGACAAAUAUUGGCAGACUAUGAUUCCCAGCGACUUGUCUUCCUCCUCUCCCACUCAUGGCAGGCUCUCACACCCACGUCCCCGUCUCUGACCUCUGCUCUGACCAUUGUCCCUGAUGUCACUUUACCACAUAUGACACCCAUGUCAAGUGGAUCGGUCCUUGAACCUUCGCUGCUCCCACCUCAGAUUCUCAUUUAACCUCACUGGGGUGGCAACAACUUAAAAAUGGAGAACAACAAGUGUGCUGUGUGAGCCAUAGGCCAGAUUCUGGAGUCCAUGGUAACAGAAAACCUGAGCUACCUCAGGAGUAUAAAGCACAAACCCACACUUGAUCAUCAGAAACCCUAGCAGGUAUUUAACCAAGAAGGGAGCUGGUAAUGGAGGACCCAGAUGUUACCUGGAGGAAAAUGAAGCAAGGUAGAAGCAGUUACUCAUACCACUGCAAUAGCCAUGCGAAGAUUUGUCAUUAAAUGUCAGCCAUGUGCCGGGAAUAUUUCUGAUAUUAUUCAAUUGUUUGUUAAAUGCUGAGUUCUGACACUCAGCCAGGCACUGACUUGUGGGCUGGAGAUAUCAUUUAUUGCCUCCAUUUUAUCCAUGAAGAAACUGAGGUACAAAGACAUUCUGUAACUCACCUGAUGUCACACAUCUUUUAAGUGAUAGAGCAGUAUAUGAACCCAGAUUUACUGAACUCAAAGCCCACACUCUUUCUCUCAUGUCACACUGCAGGGGAAAGCAAAAGACUAGAACUGGGAAACAAGCAUAAAAUAACCUAGCCCCAUAAGACCCUAAUUUUUCCCAAACAGAAUCUCACAGAAUUAUAUUGUACUACCUGGUAUAUUUUUAAUAUUUCCUUUUUUCUAAAUUUACUUUUUCCAGAUGGUAUGGGUUAAAUUCACAUUAAUAAUCUGUUUUCAAUAUAAACGAUUAAUUUCAUAAAUAGGGUAUUCUCAAUAUUAGUGAUCCCAUAUUAAGAAUGAUUUCACAUGUCAAUCUAUGCUAACAAAAAAAUUGGAAAAGCAAUUAUUUGAUGAGUGCUCAUUUGGAAUAUAACUGUGUCAUCACAUAUUCACUUAGGUCAUAUUCUAUGAUAUAUUACCUAACUUCAAAGCAGGGAUUAUGCCUCACUGUUCUUUGGUUCCAAACCAAGUUCCUCAUGUAGGGCUUUGUAAAGAAGUAGGUAUUUAAAGAUAAUAGUGAAUUGAAUGGAAAAAAAAUUUUUUUUCUGUUUACCUAGCCUCACAUAAAUGUUUUUAGUGACUCUCUGUGAAUUUAUUUAAUAAAUAUUGGCUCCUCAAAGAUUUUUCAUACUUCACUGUUUUGCAAGAAAAUUCUAUCUGCAGGCAUAUAUUCACAAACUCAAAGUCUUUAGUUGAAGUUUCAAGAGUAAUGGAGUAGAAUUUCAGUACCUUCCCCAGGAGGUUAGAAUUAUAAAAUUCUUAGUUUGGGAUUUACUUCUCCCUUCUGAUUUAUUCCAGGCACCAGAUUCUACUCUCUCUGUCAAACAGAAGAUGCAAGGCAUCUGAGGCUGAUUCUUCCCAGAAAUUAACUCCAGGGCCCACCCCAUCUGGUUAUUACAAGAUAUUGAAUGUAGUUCCCUGUGCUAUACGGAAGAAAAUGAAAAGGUGGAGGAAGUAUGGAAAGCUCUUUCUUCACUGAACUUCCCUGAGAAGGGGCCAAGGAAGAGAUUGGCUUCAAGCUGAAGAUUUUAAAAGUAACUCUUUUAAAAGGUCAGCUGUUCUCAGGUGAUGCUGAUGCUGCAGGUCCAGGGACCACACUUUGAGAACCACUGGCUUAGAGUGAAACACACAAUCCUCAGUCCUCCAAACCUUGGACAGCAGGUUGUAUAAAAACUUUGUUCUCUCAACAUCCAAAUCAUGCAAAUGGAAGCCUUGGGCUUCAUAACUCUUAUCCCCAAAAAGUGCCUAUUUUGGAAAUCAGCACUUAACACUUGAUUUUUUUUCUUCUUUUUUAUUUUCUGUUCUACCCUAAAACAAUGCUGUAGAACCACUGGACAGUCAGCAUGACCAGCCAUUAAAAAUGUAUCAUAUUAGUAUUUUAUAACUAUUUAUCUCACUAUAUCUUUUUUUAUUAUUUUCUUUGGGGUGAAAUCACAGAGCAUUGUCAGUUUAUCUACUCUCCGCAAACCUCCAUGGGGUUGGAAAAUAGAAAACCUGCACAUUCUAGAAAGGAAAUGGGACAAAGGGAGGUUUGCAAUGAGCAAGAUAUCUGGACCUCUGCUUCCCUCAUGUCAAGCUGGGUUUUUUUCUGGUUACUUUCAUGCCCCCUCUGUUCACCAGCUCCUCCCCUUUUGCCUCUACCAGGUGAACUUGGCUACACCUCCCUUAGUAUCUGACGUUGCUCCUUUCAGCUGGCCUUCUCCAAGCGAUAAUGCUGCCUUUUCCAUCCUGGAUGCUCAGAUGGAGGCCACAGGGAUGGUUACUAUGGAUACCAAACCCAGCCAGUCACAUGCCCCAUGUCUGCCAAAAGACCUCAGGGGCACUGCUUGAGACGGGAGACCUCAUCUUAUUAUCCCCAGGGCUCCUGGUAGAGGAAGGGAGAAGAGGGGCAUGGAGCGCUGAUUACAUACAAUGAAUCCAAUACCUUGGAAGCAGUAGUUACAGUAGGAUAUCAAUGCACAGUGAGAAAGACUCGAUUUGACUGUGGUCCUUACCAUUUCCUCCUCCUUUUCUCCCUUUCCUCUCUCUUUUCCCUCUUCAUCUCUCUUUCUCUUCUGCCUCUCCUGGCAGGCAGUGUAGUCCAACCUGGAUUUCAAUUCUAGCUCUACCUUUUGUUAGCUGUGUGACAAUGAACUAGGAACUUAACUUCUCUGAUCCUUAAUUCCCUUACCUAUGAAGUAGGGGUGAAGUUUCCUACCUCCAUUCUCAAAUGAGAACUAGAUGAGAGAAUAUCUGAAAUGUAUUCAGUGUAAACACCCAAUUAAUGCUCUCCAUGGUGAUCAUUUCCACCCUGCAGUAAGUCCUACUGAAACCUCACAACCCAGACUGAGACUCAAACCCACCGUCUUUUAACUGAAAUCGCACACCUGGUCUCACGACUUAAUGAAGCUCAGGUUCUUUAUGUCUCAUCACAGAAGGAAUUCAGUGAGAGACAAAGUGAUAGGUAAGAAGUAGAUUUACUGAGAGAGAUACACACCCCAUAGACAGAAUUUGGUCCAUCUCAAAAGGCUUGAGAGCACCCCAAAAUAUGGGGUGGUUAGUUUUUAUGGGCUGGGUGAUUUCAUAGGCUCACGAGUGGGAGGAUUA